rnacentral:rRNA from 1 species
GGACCGGAGACAGGUGUGGCAUGGCUGUCGUCAGCUCGUGUCGUGAGAUGUUGGGUUAAGUCCCGCAACGAGCGCAACCCUCGCCUUUAGUUGCCAUCAUUUAGUUGGGCACUCUAGAGGGACUGCCGGUGAUAAGCCGGAGGAAGGUGGGGAUGACGUCAAGUCCUCAUGGCCCUUACGGGUUGGGCUACACACGUGCUACAAUGGCGGCGACAAUGGGCAGCGAAGGGGCGACCCGGUGCAAAUCCCAAAAAGCCGUCUCAGUUCGGAUUGUACUCUGCAAGUCGCAAGCAUGAAGGUGGAAUCGCUAGUAAUCGCGUAACAGCAUGACGCGGUGAAUACGUUCCCGGGCCUUGUACACACCGCCCGUCACACCAUGGGAGUUGGUUUUACCCGAAGCUGGUGCGCUAACCGCAAGGAGGCAGCCAACCACGGUAAGGUCAGCGACUGGGGUGAAGUC